GACGAACGCUGGCGGCGUGCCUAAUACAUGCAAGUCGAGCGCAGGAAACUGACGGAACUCUUCGGAGGGAAGGCAGUGGAAUGAGCGGCGGGCGGGUGAGUAACACGUAAGGAACCUGCCUCAAGGAUUGGGAUAACUCCGAGAAAUCGGAGCUAAUACCGGAUAGUUCAACGGACCGCAUGGUCCGCUGAUGAAAGGCGCUCCGGCGUCACCUUGAGAUGGCCUUGCGGUGCAUUAGCUAGUUGGUGGGGUAACGGCCCACCAAGGCGACGAUGCAUAGGCGACCUGGGAGGGUGAUCGGCCACACGGGGACUGAGACACGGCCCAGACUCCUACGGGAGGCAGCAGUAGGGAAUCUUCCACAAUGGACGAAAGUCUGAUGGAGCAACGCCGCGUGAGUGAUGAAGGUUUUCGGAUCGUAAAACUCUGUUGUAAGGGAAGAACACGUACGAGAGGAAAUGCUCGUACCUUGACGGUACCUUACGAGAAAGCCACGGCUAACUACGUGCCAGCAGCCGCGGUAACAC
rnacentral:rRNA from 1 species